rnacentral:tRNA from 1 species
GGAAAAAUGGCUGAGUGGUCGAAGGCGGCAGAUUGCUAAUCUGUUGUACGAUAGUAAUUGUACCGAGGGUUCAAAUCCCUCUUUUUCCG